GACGUAGGGCGCGAGCGUUGUCCGGAUUUAUUGGGCGUAAAGAGCUCGUAGGCGGCUUGUCGCGUCGUCCGUGAAAACCUGCAGCUCAACUGCAGGCUUGCGGUCGAUACGGGCAGGCUAGAGUUCGGUAGGGGAGACUGGAAUUCCUGGUGUAGCGGUGAAAUGCGCAGAUAUCAGGAGGAACACCGGUGGCGAAGGCGGGUCUCUGGGCCGAUACUGACGCUGAGGUGCGAAAGCGUGGGGAGCGAACAGG
rnacentral:rRNA from 1 species